CCUCUAAUAGCUCAGUUGGUAGAGCACUCGUCUAGUCAACGAAAGGUCUCCAGUUCGAUUCUGGGUGGAGGC
rfam:Phlebotomus papatasi Contig5804.1, whole genome shotgun sequence.